rnacentral:lncRNA from 1 species
AGCUAAGCCGUUUUUAAAAAAACAACAACAACAACAGGCUGACAGACAAGUAAUAAUCUAACAAAUGGCUAGAAAGGAGUGAAAACCAAAAGCAACUUCUCUGCAAAGCAACAGCCACAAAGAUAACAGAGACUGUGCUAUGAUCAAGUAGCUGCCAUAGUAUUCAGAAAAGAGAGUGUGAUCUUCUGGAAAUGGACAAAUAAAUGUGCAGCAUGUCAGAGUCCUGUGUUCCACUCAAACUGUUUCCCUUUAGUGGCCUCUUCUCAUGACAGAGCCUUGCAGACAGAUUGCCUUUGAGUAAGUUGCAAAUGUCACAGAGCCCGAAAAGAGCCAGAGGGGGACUUGAAGAGAAGACUACUAUGAAACAAGGAUGCAAUUAUCUCAAAUGAAA